GAGCUCAGAGGCAGAACAUCUGCCUUGCAUGCAGAAGGUCCUGGGGUUCAAUCCCCAUGCA
rnacentral:tRNA from 1 species